rnacentral:piRNA from 1 species
UACUAGGUCCUUUCCUCCCUAGGGAGGUGU